AUGUGACAGUUCCCAAUGAAGACCUUGAUGUUUGUGGUCCUGUUGUUAAUAUAUCUACAUGGCGCUGCGGGAGUGAUUCACUCUCUGAAGUAUUUCUACACUGCGUCUUCUGGAGUCCCAAACUUCCCAGAGUUUGUGUCUGUUGGGUUGGUUGAUGAAGUUCAGAUUUAUCACUAUGACAGUAACACCAGGAGAGCAGAACCCAAACAGGACUGGAUGAUCAGAGUCACAGCAGAGGAUCCUCAGUACUUGGAGAGGGAGACUGAAGCCUGUAAGCGUCACCAACAGCGCCACAAAGUCAGCAUUGAAGCUUUAAAGCAGCGCUUCAACCAAACUGGAGGUGUCCACGUUCUCCAGUGGAUGUACGGCUGUGAGUGGGAUGAUCAGACUAAUAAGGUUAAUGGUUAUGAUCAGUAUGGUUAUGAUGGAGAAGACUUCAUAAAAUUAGACCUGAAGACAGAGACAUGGAUCGCUAUAAAACAACAGGCUUUCACCACCAAACAUAGAUGGGAUCGUGACAAAGCUUGGCUGGAUACGACAAAACACUACCUCACCCAGGAGUGCAUUACGUGGCUGAAGAAGUAUUUGGACUAUGGGAGGAGCUCUCUGCUGAGAACAGACCUUCCCUCAGUGUCUCUCCUCCAGAAGACUCCCUCCUCUCCAGUCAGCUGCCACGCUACAGGUUUCUACCCUGACAGUGCCACACUCAUCUGGAGGAAAGAUGGAGAGGAGCUUCAUGAGGACGUGGACCACGGAGAGAUCCUCCCCAACCACGAUGGAUCCUUCCAGAUGAGUGUUGACCUGAACCUUUCAUCAGUCACACCUGAAGACUGGAGGAAGUACGACUGUGUGUUUCAGCUCUCUGGUGUGAAGAACGACAUCGUCACCAAACUGGACAAAGCAUGGUUCUGGACCGAUAAAGAGAAACCUGAUAACACGACUGUCAUCAUCAUUGCUGCAGUGGUUGUUCUCGCUCUCGUCCUCAUCGCUGUGGUUGGAGUCGUCAUCUAUAAAAAGAAAAAUGCCACACGCCCUCCAUCUCCUAUAAGCAACCCUGAGGUCAUGGAGCUGAACCCAAACGCCUAAACAACAAAAACACCACCCUGAACACAGUUUAUGGACACAUUUUGCACUCGAACGAGGAGCGGUUCCUCCACAUUCUCCUCCGUAAACUGGGAAUUCAUUGGUUGUUCAUCAUCAUACAAUAAACUGAUCAGGGUUGGAAAUCUAGUAGUAGAUGCUUAUUAAUUGGAAUACAAAGAACACAAAUUUGAUAAAUGAGUUUACAAACAUUUGACAAACAUUACCAAACAUAAAUGGUGACAUUAAAUGAUCAAAUGUUAGUAAGUCAAAUGAGGUUCAUUCAUAUUUUGUUAAAAGUAAAACACAAUAUUUAAAAAAAAAUGAAAGCAUCACAGCACUUUCUAUACGUAGAUUUGUGUGUUCAUCUUAAACAAAUCCACCGUAGUUACAGUUUUAUACUUCUGGUGUUGGUGUUUUCUGGUAAAAUCAAUAUCGAUAAUAGAAAUGUAAAUACACACACACACACACACACAAACACACAGGCACACACACAUCCAUGUACAUGCAUUCCCAUUUUCAAAUAUAUACUGAUUCUGGUGAUUUGAUACCUUGAGAUAACAGAGAUUUUUUAAACCAGUAGAGAGUUUAUAUAUUAAGAAAAUAAUUAUUUUGUUCUCUGGCUGUAACAGAUCAUUGAAAGCAAAACUGCAAAUCAAUCAGCAACAUCCAAAAUUAUGCUUCCUAUAUCAGACACUCUGUAUUGCCUGUAGGUGUUAAUGUAAGAAUAAAAUGGUGAUAAACUUUACUUCACCUCUCUCCCACUGUGCACUGGCUCGACUCCAGUCCUCUGUGACUCUCAGCUGGAUCAGUGGGACAGGAAAUAGAUGGAGGGAGUUUUGUUUCACUGGUUUGAAUUAUCUGGAUUUGUAAAUAAUUCAUUGGACACAUAUUUCCAUCUGGUUACUGCUACAUGGUUUAAUUUACAGAAACUGUUCAACAUCUUGAAAUACAUGCAAAUACUGCAUAAACACUGAUAGGUUGUAUCAUUGUUGCCCAUCCCCAUACACACACACACACACACACACACACACACACACACACACACACACACAAACAAUAUAAGAAUCAGGACAGAACUUAGUUUCCAGUUGUGUAAAUAGUUAUAUUUCUUUAAAAGUGAUCAAAUUUAAAGAUUUUGUUUUGAUUCCAAUCAGGCCAAAGUAUAUAAUUUAUGUUUUUGAGAUUUUUCUGAAUUAAACAAGAGUGUGUUAUUGUUAUUGUUUUUGUUUUCAUAAUAUCUGUUUUAAUUAGUUUGGAAACUACUAUAUUUAAAUUUUAGCUGAAAGGGUUGUGGGAUGUUUUAAGCUUCUCAGCACUGAUAGAAAUCUUUUUGAAAAUACUUGCUAAUAUUUAGGGACAAGGGACAUUUUCUAUUAUAGAAAAUACUCAAAAUUACUUUUUGUGUUGAAUUGAGUGGAUUAAUCUCAGAUUAAAUUGUUCAACUGUUUUGUUACCUUUGUACUUUUGAUUUCAAUAAAGUCCUAUAAAGUGCC